GACAGAGGGUGCAAACGUUGUUCGGAAUUACUGGGCGUAAAGCGCGUGUAGGCGGCCCUGCAAGUCGGAUGCGAAAUCCCACGGCUCAACCGUGGAAGUGCAUUCGAAACUGCAGGGCUUGAGUCCUGGAGAGGAAGGUGGAAUGCUUGGUGUAGAGGUGAAAUUCGUAGAUAUCAAGCGGAACACCGGUGGCGAAGGCGGCCUUCUGGACAGUGACUGACGCUGAGACGCGAAAGCGUGGGGAGCAAACAGG
rnacentral:rRNA from 1 species